rnacentral:rRNA from 1 species
GACGAACGGCUGGCGGCGUGCCUAACACAUGCAAGUCGAGCGGAGCCAUCCGAAUGAUUCCUUCGGGAUGAAUUCGGGGAAGCUUAGCGGCGGACGGGUGAGUAACGCGUGAGUAACCUGCCCAUAAGAGGGGAAUAACACACCGAAAGGUGUGCUAAUACCGCAUAAUGUAUUUUUACCGCAUGGUAGAAAUACCAAAGAUUUAUCGCUUAUGGAUGGACUCGCGUCUGAUUAGAUAGUUGGUGGGGUAACGGCCUACCAAGUCGACGAUCAGUAGCCGGUCUGAGAGGAUGAACGGCCACAUUGGGACUGAGAUACGGCCCAGACUCCUACGGGAGGCAGCAGUGGGGAAUAUUGGGCAAUGGGGGAAACCCUGACCCAGCAACGCCGCGUGAAGGAAGAAGGCCUUCGGGUUGUAACUUCUUUUACCAGGACGAAGAACGUGACGGUACCUGGAGAAAAGCCACGGCUAACUACGUGCCAGCAGCCGC